rnacentral:rRNA from 1 species
AGCAUAUCAAUAAGCGGAGGAAAAGAAACCAACAGGGAUUGCCCCAGUAACGGCGAGUGAAGCGGCAACAGCUCAAAUUUGAAAUCUGGCCCUCGGGCCCGAGUUGUAAUUUGGAGAGGAUGCUUCUGGCGCGGCGCCGUCCGAGUUCCUUGGAACAGGACGCCAUAGAGGGUGAGAGCCCCGUACGGGCGGCCGCCUAGCCUUUGCGAAGCUCCUUCGACGAGUCGAGUAGUUUGGGAAUGCUGCUCAAAAUGGGAGGUAAAUUUCUUCUAAAGCUAAAUACCGGCCAGAGACCGAUAGCGCACAAGUAGAGUGAUCGAAAGAUGAAAAGCACUUUGAAAAGAGGGUUAAAAAGUACGUGAAAUUGUUGAAAGGGAAGCGCCUGUGACCAGACUUGCGGCCCGCGGAUCAUCCGGUGUUCCUCACCGGUGCGCUCCGCGGGCCGCAGGCCAGCAUCGGCUCUCCUGGGGGGACAAAGGUCGCGGGAACGUGGCUCCUUAGGGAGUGUUAUAGCCCGCUUCGUCAUGCCUCCGGGGGGGCCGAGGACCGCGCUUCGGCAAGGAUGCUGGCGUAAUGGUCACCGGCGACCCGUCUUGAAACACGGACCAAGGAGUCAAGCAUUGGGGCGAGUGUCUGGGUGCCAAACCCGCACGCGAAAUGAAAGUAAACGCAGGUGAGAGCUUCGGCGCAUCACCGACCGAUCCUGAUGUCUUCGGAUGGAUUUGAGUAAGAGCCUUACCGCUUGGACCCGAAAGAUGGUGAACUAUGCCUGUAUAGGGUGAAGCCAGAGGAAACUCUGGUGGAGGCUCGCAGCGGUUCUGACGUGCAAAUCGAUCGUCAAAUAUGGGCAUGGGGGCGAAAGACUAAUCGAACCAUCUAGUAGCUGGUUACCGCCGAA